UACGUAGGAGGCAAGCGUUGUCCGGAAUCACUGGGCGUAAAGAGCGUGUAGGCGGUCUGCCAAGUCUGUUGUGAAAGCGCCUGGCUUAACUGGGCGAGGUCGACGGAAACUGGCAAACUGGAGGCCGGUAGAGGAGGGUGGAAUUCCCGGUGUAGUGGUGAAAUGCGUAGAGAGUCGGGAGGAACACCAGUGGCGGAAGGCCGGCC
rnacentral:rRNA from 1 species